UCCAAAGGAGCCUGGAAAAGAAAGAGAGUACAAGAGAAACAAAAUAAAGGCCCAUAAAGUGAAGAGAACUGAACCACCAAAAUGGUCCCAAAAUAGAAACUAAACAACAAAAAUCCUACUGUUUAAAUUUUUUUAUAUAAGUAAACUGAGAUAUUGAUUUUGUGGCUAAAAUGGGCUCGCUUAUCCAUUUCGGGCCUUAAAAAGUAAAAACACCAAAUGACAACCGCAACAAGAUACCAGAAACCGCAUUCCACAAAACUGUAGAUAUUUAACAUGCGUCAUCGCCAACGUCACUCUUCAAUCUUAGUCACUCAAUGUUUGUCAGUAUAUAUCUACCACCCCGUAUGGACCGAAUCAUUCAUUCAUCUUCAAUCUCAAGCUCAUCAACAAUGGCUGCCAACCCCCAAACCCACUUCUUAUUCAUCACGUACCCCAUGCAAAGCCAUAUCAACCCAGCCCUCCACCUUGCCAAGCACUUCGCAACCACCACCGGUGCCACCGUCACCUUCUCCACCACCAUCUUCGCCCACCGCCGCAUGUUCUCCUCCACCACCAACUCCGACAAAGGCUUCAAUGAUGGCCUCAUCACCUACCUCCCCUUCUCCGAUGGCUUAGAUGGAGAGGAUUACAAACUUACCACCAUGGAUUCGAAGGAGUACUUCUCACUCUUCAGAACAAAUAGUAAACGCAACGUUUCUAUCCUCUUGAACGAUCUCGCUACCAGUGGCCGGCCGGUGAAGUGCAUAGUCUAUACCCUCUUGUUAGACUGGGUGGUGGACAUCGCCGGUGAGCAUGGCAUCCCUUCAGUCCUCUAUUGGAUACAAGCUGCCACUGUGUUUGGCACCUACUAUCACUUCUUUCAUGGCUUUGAGUGUCUAAUCAAAGCUCACGCUGAUGAUCCUUCGUUCCCCGUCUGUUUUCCGGGAUUGCCACCGCUCCAAAUCAGAGACUUGCCAUCGUUUCUCACUGACACAGAAGCCGAUGGCAUCUACGCCACCAUUCUAGACUCGUUCAGAGAGUUGUUUAAGAUUUUAGAUGGGAAACAAGAGAAGAAGAUGAAGAAGCCCAAGGUGUUGAUAAACACCUUCCAAGAAUGGGAAACUGUUGCCUUAGCUUCAUUCAGCAAUGAGGUUGAAGCCAUACCUGUUGGACACUUGCCGAAAGAGUACACCAACUCAGUUGCUGGAUAUCUUUUCAGGGAGGAUGAGAAGAAGUACAUGGAAUGGUUGGACACAAAAGAGGAGGGAUCAGUGGUGUAUAUAUCAUUCGGAAGUGUCUCAAUGAUGAAGAAGGAGCAGAUGGAGGAGAUUGUGAAAGCAUUGAAGGAGAGCAAGAGGCCAUAUCUAUGGGUUGUGAGGAAGGAUAACAGAGAGGAAGAACUACUGGAGAUUGAAGAAGGAGAGGAUGGGAUGGUGGUGGAGUGGUGCUCACAAGUGAAAGUGUUGGCGCACAGGGCGGUUGGUUGCUUUGUGACACACUGUGGGUGGAACUCAACGUUGGAGAGCUUGGUGUGUGGCGUACCACACUGGACGGAUCAAGCCAUGAAUGCGAAGUUGGUUGAGACUUGAGAGUUUUUGGGGUUGUGGAGUGAGGAGUGAGGAGUGAGGUUGAUGGUGUUAUUAAAGGAGAAGAGCUUGUGAGGUGUUUGGAGAUGGUCAUGGGUGAAGGAGGGAAAAGUGAGGACAUUAGAAGAAGGGCUAAGAUGCUGAAAGAUAAGGCUUUAGAGGCUGUGGGUGAAGAUAUGAUUCAAGUUCGUACUAAAGUAGAUGGAAUGAAUGAAGCCAGACAUGGUGAGGCAAGUGUGAAGAUGGUAGAGACGCAAAGAGGCGGAGAAGGGCUGGCGGCGGCCAUGCUACUGUUCACGUGCAAGCAUGAAAAAUAAUGGAGUACAAGGAUGGAGAGCAUGGUUCUGUUCACCAGCUCUGUACUGAAUUAGAAUAAAGUAUGGAUGUCAACUGAGAAGUUGGUCAAGUCAGUUUGAUAUAUUAGUUUGGUGCUAGUUAUGUUAGUUGGGUUUUGAGACAGAAAUGAAUUUAAUACUAGUCAUAUCUCUCUUUGUCUGUAACCAGCCAAUGCUGAACCUUUAAAAUCAAAAGGGUGACCAAUGGUGUAUGGUGUGUGUGCCAGCCAAUAGCUGUAUUCCUUAUGUCGGGUUGUCUGUAAUACUUUUUGAUUUAAAUAGUAGUGAAGAGU